rnacentral:rRNA from 1 species
UACGGGGGGGGCAAGCGUUGUUCGGAAUUACUGGGCGUAAAGGGCGCGUAGGUGGUUGGAUAAGUCAGCUGUGAAAACCACGAGCUCAACUUGUGGCCUGCAGUUGAAACUGUCUGGCUAGAGUGUGGGAGAGGGAAGUGGAAUUCCUGGUGUAGCGGUGAAAUGCGUAGAUAUCAGGAGGAACACCGGUGGCGAAGGCGGCUUCCUGGACCACAACUGACGCUGAGGCGCGAAAGCUAGGGGAGCAAACAGG